UAUGGCCACAUCACGUUAAAAUACCGGUUCUCGUACGAUCACCGAAGUUAAGCAAUGUUGAGUAUGGUCAGUAUCUUGGUGGGUGAUCUCUUGGGAAUACCAGGUGCUGUAA